ACCUUGCUGACGAGUGCCGAGUAGCACGAAACCCGGGUCCAAGGU
rfam:Schistosoma haematobium scaffold1187_14, whole genome shotgun sequence.